rnacentral:rRNA from 1 species
AUUGAACGCUGGCGGCAUGCCUUACACAUGCAAGUCGAACGGUAACGCGGGGCAACCUGGCGACGAGUGGCGAACGGGUGAGUAAUGUAUCGGAACGCGCCCAGUUGUGGGGGAUAACUGCUCGAAAGAGCAGCUAAUACCGCAUACGACCUGAGGGUGAAAGCGGGGGAUCGCAAGACCUCGCGCAAUUGGAGCGGCCGAUAUCAGAUUAGGUAGUUGGUGGGGUAAAGGCUCACCAAGCCAACGAUCUGUAGCUGGUCUGAGAGGACGACCAGCCACACUGGGACUGAGACACGGCCCAGACUCCUACGGGAGGCAGCAGUGGGGAAUUUUGGACAAUGGACGCAAGUCUGAUCCAGCCAUGCCGCGUGCGGGAAGAAGGCCUUCGGGUUGUAAACCGCUUUUGUCAGGGAAGAAACGCUCUGGGUUAAUACCUCGGGGUAAUGACGGUACCUGAAGAAUAAGCACCGGCUAACUACGUGCCAGCCGCCGCUGUAAUAC